UACGGAGGAUCCGAGCGUUAUCCGGAAUCAUUGGGUUUAAAGGGUCCGUAGGCGGUUUUGUAAGUCAGUGGUGAAAUCCGGCAGCUCAACUGUCGAACUGCCAUUGAUACUGCAGGACUUGAAUUAUUGUGAAGUAACUAGAAUAUGUAGUGUAGCGGUGAAAUGCUUAGAUAUUACAUGGAAUACCAAUUGCGAAGGCAGGUUACUAACAGUUGAUUGACGCUGAUGGACGAAAGCGUGGGGAGCGAACAGGAUUAGAUACCCUGGUAGUCCACGCCGUAAACGAUGGAUACUAGCUGUUUGGUAGGAAUACUGAGUGGCUAAGCGAAAGUGAUAAGUAUCCCACCUGGGGAGUACGGGCGCAAGCCUGAA
rnacentral:rRNA from 1 species